AUUUCCACGCGGCUCAGCAGCCCGGAGCAGCUGCACCCGGCGGGUGAGCGGCUGC
rnacentral:miRNA from 1 species